GAUGGGGCGGGGAGAAGGGCCAGUGCAGCGCCGCCACCGCCGGCAACUUUGUGAGCGAGUUCAGUACGUGCGUGAGCGAGUGAGCGGAAAGGAGAGCGCGCGGACGACGCGCCCCGGACGCGCGGCAGCACCGGGAAGCCCAGGCCAAGCGGUUUUGAGAGAUUGCUCCAAAUUGGACUCAAAAGCAAGGUUGACCGCAAACUUUGAGGUGGAAUGAGGUUAUGUAUACGUCGUUCGUGUGGAUGUUGCUGACUUAAGUCUGCGAUCAUGGCACCAGAAUACAG